UACGGAGGGUGCAAGCGUUAUCCGGAUUCACUGGGUUUAAAGGGUGCGUAGGUGGGUUGGUAAGUCAGUGGUGAAAUCCCCGAGCUUAACUUGGGAACUGCCAUUGAUACUAUCAGUCUUGAAUACCGUGGAGGUCAGCGGAAUAUGUCAUGUAGCGGUGAAAUGCUUAGAUAUGACAUAGAACACCAAUUGCGAAGGCAGCUGGCUACACGAAUAUUGACACUCAGGCACGAAAGCGUGGGAUCAAACAGG
rnacentral:rRNA from 1 species